rnacentral:rRNA from 1 species
AACGCUGGCGGCGCGCUUAACACAUGCAAGUCGAGCGAGAACCGGGGCUUCGGCCCCGGGGACAGCGGCGAACGGGUGAGUAACACGUGGGUAAUCUGCCCUCGGUUCCGGGAUAGCCCGAGGAAACUCGGAUUAAUACCGGAUAGCCUCGCAGGCCUUCGGGCCGGCAAGAAAAGGUAGCUUCGGCCUCCGACCGAGGAUGAGCCCGCGGCGGAUUAGCUUGUUGGCGGGGUAACGGCCCACCAAGGCGACGAUCCGUAGCUGGUCUGAGAGGACGAUCAGCCACACUGGGACGGAGACACGGCCCAGACUCCUACGGGGGGCAGCAGUGGGGAAUCUUGCGCAAUGGGCGAAAGCCUGACGCAGCGACGCCGCGGGAGGGAAGAAGGCCUUCGGGUUGCAAACCUCUUUCAGGUGGGACGAAGCCACUCGGGUGAAUAGCCCAGAGGGUGACGGUACCUCCAGAAGAAGCCCCGGCUAACUACGUGCCAGCAGCCGCCGUAACAC